rnacentral:lncRNA from 1 species
GGGCACGAAUGAAUCAAUUUGGACCUAUAAUUCUACAAUUCAUGCUAAUAUUACCUGCAAAGUUGAUUGUAUGGUCAAUAUGACAGAAAAAGCGAUUUACUUCAAUAGAACAUUCUAUUACCAUGGAAACAAGUCAGGAUAUCCGGUGGAAGGCACGUUUUUCCCCGAAGAGGACCCGCAACCGGAUACGAUAUUAUUCGGUCAACCAGGUGGCAUUGAUGAGGGUUAUGAGGUCCUAAUCUUCGCCAGCCAAAACAACAGCUGCGGGGUGAUUAAUGUGACACUAACA